UAAAGUGGCGCACGGGUGAGUAACGCGUGGGUAAUCUACCCUCGAAUCGGGGAUAACGUUGCGAAAGCGACGCUAAUACCGGAUGACAUCAAAGGGACCUCGGUUUUUUUGAUCAAAGGUGGCCUCUACAUGUAAGCUACUGUUUGAGGAUGAGCCCGCGUCCCAUUAGCUAGUUGGUAGGGUAAUGGCCUACCAAGGCGACGAUGGGUAGCUGGUCUGAGAGGAUGAUCAGCCACACUGGAACUGACACACGGUCCAGACUCCUACGGGAGGCAGCAGUGAGGAAUUUUGCGCAAUGGGGGAAACCCUGACGCAGCAACGCCGCGUGAGUGAUGAAGGCUUUCGGGUCGUAAAGCUCUGUCAAGUGGGAAGAACCGCCGUAAGGUUAAUACCCUUAUGGUCUGACGGUACCACUGAAGGAAGCACCGGCUAACUCCGUGCCAGCAGCCGCGGUAAUACGGGGGGUGCAAGCGUUAUUCGGAUUUACUGGGCGUAAAGGGCGCGUAGGCGGCCGUUUAAGUCAGAUGUGAAAGCCCGGGGCUCAACCCCGGGAAGUGCAUUUGAUACUAUUCCGGCUUGA
rnacentral:rRNA from 1 species